AAAAACAUCGCCUCUUGCUUCACAUAAGAGGUCUAGCCUGCCCAGUGACAAAGUUUAACGGCCGCGGUAACCUAACCGCGCGAAGGUAGCAUAAUCACUUGUUCUUUAAAUAGGGACUAGUAUCAACGGCAUCACGAGGGUCGCACUGUCUCCUCCCUCCAAUCAGUGAAACUGAUCUCCCCGUGAAAAAGCGGGGAUAAAGAUAUAAGACGAGAAGACCCCAUGGAGCUUUAAACCCAACAGCAACUCAGUAACAUAGUUCCUCAUAACCCACAGAGAAAUGCACAUCGGUUUUAGGUUGGGGUGACCGCGGAGUAAAAAUUAUCCUCCACGACGAAAAGAACUAAAUCUUUAUCUAAGAAUUACUAUUCUAAGAAUUAGUAUACUAACGAACAAUGACCCAAUAAUUGAUCAACGAAACAAGUUACCCUGGGGAUAACAGCGCAAUCUACUUCAAGAGCCCAUAUCGACAAGUAGGCUUACGACCUCGAUGUUGGAUCAGGGUAUCCCAGUGGUGCAGCCGCUACUGAAGGUUCGUUUGUUCAACGAUUAAAACCCUACGUGAUCUGA
rnacentral:rRNA from 1 species